AUGAACGCUGGCGGCGUGCUUAACCCAUGCAAGUCGCACGAAGCACUUUAUUUGAUUUCCUUCGGGACUGAUUAUUUUGUGACUGAGUGGCGGACGGGUGAGUAACGCGUGGGUAACCUGCCUUGUACAGGGGGAUAACAGUUGGAAACGGCUGCUAAUACCGCAUAAGCGCACAGCAUCGCAUGAUGCAGUGUGAAAAACUCCGGUGGUAUAAGAUGGACCCGCGUUGGAUUAGCUAGUUGGUGAGGUAACGGCCCACCAAGGCGACGAUCCAUAGCCGACCUGAGAGGGUGACCGGCCACAUUGGGACUGAGACACGGCCCAAACUCCUACGGGAGGCAGCAGUGGGGAAUAUUGCACAAUGGGCGAAAGCCUGAUGCAGCGACGCCGCGUGAGCGAAGAAGUAUUUCGGUAUGUAAAGCUCUAUCAGCAGGGAAGAUAAUGACGGUACCUGACUAAGAAGCACCGGCUAAAUACGUG
rnacentral:rRNA from 1 species